rnacentral:tRNA from 1 species
GCCCAGAUCGCAUAGCCUGGUAUUGCGCAAGCUUGGAAAGCUUGUUCCUUCGGGAGUCGUCGGUUCAAAUCCGGCUCUGGGCG